UCUUUUAGAAGAUUCCAGGAUGUGUCAGUGUGAGUGUCCGAAGACUGCCCCAACAGCAGCACCCUACAUGCCCCGUUGUGCAUGGCACGGUUGCAGGUUAACGGUGCUUAUUGCUCCACAAUUCCGAGCAAGCGCACUGAGCCCUUCCGGUCUGCGGAAUGCAAACCACUGUGAGGCCACGGCUCAGCGUAGCCUUCCUCUUUCACAGCUGUGUCGCGCUUCCCCAGGACACCCUCCUAGUCAACUUGCUGGUUGUGCUUUCGUCAACUUGACACGACUCCAGACAUGUCUGGGAAGAGGGAACCUCAAAUGAGAAAAGACCUCCAUUUUGACAAGUCUGUGGGUUAUUGUCUUGAUUGAUGAAGGGCCCAGCUCCGUGUGGGCAGCGUCAUCUCCCGAUGAGACGUUUCUGGGAGCUAUUAGACAGCAGCAUAAGUAAGUCAGACAGAGCGAGUCAAGAAGCAGUACUCUUCAUGGCUCCUGCUCCAGUUCCUGCCUCCGAGUUCCUGCCCUGGGUUUUCCCAGAGAUGGACCUCCGCACUGCAAGGUGAAAUAAACUCUUUCCUCCUCAAGUUA